GGGGGCGAAAUAGGAUCGACGUGCCUAAUAAAAAGAUUGCUUUUACUCGGGAUGAUUCCGCCGAUGGCUUGUGCCAUAUGGGUCAAAACAAAGAAACGCAAACGAUAAUAAUCGUUCUGUAGGUCAUUUAGCUUUAGCAGCUUAAUCCUACGCGGCUGGAGGGUGUGCCGGGCAACAGAACAACCCUCACU
rnacentral:tmRNA from 7 species